rnacentral:rRNA from 1 species
GACGAACGCUGGCGGCGUGCUUAACACAUGCAAGUCGAACGAAGAGCGAUGGAAGCUUGCUUCUAUCAAUCUUAGUGGCGAACGGGUGAGUAACGCGUAAUCAACCUGCCCUUCAGAGGGGGACAACAGUUGGAAACGACUGCUAAUACCGCAUACGAUCUGACCUCGGCAUCGAGGAUAGAUGAAAGGUGGCCUCUAUUUAUAAGCUAUCACUGAAGGAGGGGAUUGCGUCUGAUUAGCUAGUUGGAGGGGUAACGGCCCACCAAGGCGAUGAUCAGUAGCCGGUCUGAGAGGAUGAACGGCCACAUUGGGACUGAGACACGGCCCAGACUCCUACGGGAGGCAGCAGUGGGGAAUCUUCCGCAAUGGACGAAAGUCUGACGGAGCAACGCCGCGUGAGUGAUGACGGCCUUCGGGUUGUAAAGCUCUGUUAAUCGGGACGAAAGGCCUUCUUGCGAAUAGUUAGAAGGUUACC